AGUCGGCUCCCCUCUGCUGAGGGUGGUAAGUGGGGCUGCUCAGGGCCUGUUCCUUUGGGUUCUUUGCCAUUCUAGCAGUGGGGGAGCUUGCUCUGAGUGGUCUGAUAUUGUAACUAGGACCUCUUCCAGGUUGGUGCAGUUCUAACAUGCUGCUGCAGUGAUGGAACCAUGAAAGUAGCGGGAAUGUAAUCCUGAGAGGUAUAGCAGAGAGGAAAAUCCACUUCCCUACUCAGAUUUGGUAUAUUACCCUUGUCUACUACCUUAGGGAGACUAUUACUGGAAACACGUGUCCAGUUCUGGUGUCAACACUUGAAGAAUGCCAAAACCUGGGAAGGGGUUCAGAAGAGCACUAAAAGAAUGUUUUGAGAUCUGAAGACUAAAGAAGUUCAAUCGAAGAGAAGAUUACCAUGACCCCUAUGUCCUUUUCAAAGUCACUGCAUUCUAGGAUACAGUCCCGGUCUUACAGGUGCAACCUAUGUUCUUUGUUCCUAGAUAUGCAUUUUAAUACAAAGGCAAUAUAUUGUACAACUGAGCCCACCUUCCCAAGCAAUCAAGGUGAGUCAGUAUAAUUGAUCUGUCCAUCACUGUUUACCAUGCCACCAAUUUUUGAGUCAUCUCCAAACUUUGUCAGCAGUGAUAUAAUUGAUUUAUAUCUUCUACAUCACUGAUAAAGAUGCUGAAUGACAUUGGGUCAAGCACUGAUACUUGAGAGACUCCAUUAGAAAUACCCCUAUUGGACAACUGUAUUCCCCAUUUACAAUUACUCUAUUGUGAUCAGUCUGUUAACCAAUUUUAAUCCAUUUACUAUGGUCUGCACUUUUUUUCCUCAGAAUGCCUUGCAGGACAGAAGUCUGUCUAAUCAGCCUACUUACCUCUUAAGUUCUCUGGAAGUUCCCCAGUAUUCAAAAGUCUGUUUAAAAAUCACUUUAUGCUUCAAAACUCCUUAGUCAAUUCUUGUAAUACUCUUGGGCACUAGUUACCCAGUAUUGCAGACUUUAAAAAUCUUUAACCUUUAAUAGCUGCUGUUUCUAAUUCAUCAGUAACUAGGCAGGAUGCAAACGUGUUUCAUUGUCAAAGAUAUUAUGAAUACAUCCUUCUGCUCCUUUCUGAAUAUAGAACAGAAAUAUUUCCUUAUGCCCCAUGUGCAUUGUGAUGUCCAGCUAUUAAUGAAUCCGCCUCACACCCCAGUGUGGUAUGUAUAAAAGUUCCCCCACUGCAAAAUGAGAAUAUGAGACACAAAGCCUUGCCUGGGGCUACACAAUGAGUCGGUGGCCAAGCCAAAAGUAAACUCUGGCCCUCCUGAUUCCCAGCAUUGUGCA